rnacentral:rRNA from 1 species
UACUAAGGCGAUGGCGACCGGCGCACGGGUGAGUAACACGUAUCCAACCUGCCGAUAACUCGGGGAUAGCCUUUCGAAAGAAAGAUUAAUACCCGAUGGUAUAAUAAAGCCGCAUGGUUUAAUUAUUAAAGAAUUUCGGUUAUCGAUGGGGAUGCGUUCCAUUAGGCAGUUGGUGGGGUAACGGCUCACCAAACCUUCGAUGGAUAGGGGUUCUGAGAGGAAGGUCCCCCACAUUGGAACUGAGACACGGUCCAA